GUGAAUCAUCGAAUCUUUGAACGCACCUUGCGCUCCCUGGUAUUCCGGGGAGCACGCCUGUUCGAGUGUCAUGAAGCUCUCAAGCCAGUAUAGCUUUAUUGUUAUACUUGGUUUGGAUAUGAACUUUGCCGUGUUACAGCGGCUGGUUUUAAAAGUAUUAGCUGAUCCUUGGAAUUUCUUGGUUCUUACUCGGCGUGAUAAUUAUCUAACGUUGAGGACACUUCUUUACUGAGGUGGCCAGGGUUCUCCUAUGGAUUGCUUCUAAUCUUUGUCGCUUCAGACAAAAACAAAAUUUCAAUA
rnacentral:misc_RNA from 1 species